rnacentral:snRNA from 1 species
GGAUGUGAGGGCAAGCUGGCUGUGACAUCUGUCACCCCAUUGAUCACCAGGGUUGAUUUGGCUGAUCUGGCUGGCUAGGCGGGUGUCCCCUUCCUCCCUCAAUGCCCUAUGUCCAUCCCUCCCAGAGCUACGCGCUCGGUCGAAGAGGAUGACCACCCCUGAUAGAGGAGGACCGUUUCUCGGUCAAGGGUAUAGCAGUAGCUGCACUCCCCUGCUAGAACCCCCAAACAAGCUCUCAAACAAAACAAAACAAAACAAAACAAAACAAAACAAAACAAAAACAAUAGAAAUU